UUUGAGCGGGGGACAACAUUUGGAAACGAAUGCUAAUACCGCAUAAAAACUUUAAACACAAGUUUUAAGUUUGAAAGAUGCAAUUGCAUCACUCAAAGAUGAUCCCGCGUUGUAUUAGCUAGUUGGUGAGGUAAAGGCUCACCAAGGCGAUGAUACAUAGCCGACCUGAGAGGGUGAUCGGCCACAUUGGGACUGAGACACGGCCCAAACUCCUACGGGAGGCAGCAGUAGGGAAUCUUCGGCAAUGGACGAAAGUCUGACCGAGCAACGCCGCGUGAGUGAAGAAGGUUUUCGGAUCGUAAAACUCUGUUGGUAGAGAAGAACGUUGGUGAGAGUGGAAAGCUCAUCAAGUGACGGUAACUACCCAGAAAGGGACGGCUAACUACGUGCCAGCAGCCGCGGUAAUACGUAGGUCCCGAGCGUUGUCCGGAUUUAUUGGGCGUAAAGCGAGCGCAGGUGGUUUAUUAAGUCUGGUGUAAAAGGCAGUGGCUCAACCAUUGUAUGCAUUGGAAACUGGUAGACUUGAGUGCAGGAGAGGAGAGUGGAAUUCCAUGUGUAGCGGUGAAAUGCGUAGAUAUAUGGAGGAACACCGGUGGCGAAAGCGGCUCUCUGGCCUGUAACUGACACUGAGGCUCGAAAGCGUGGGGGAGCAAACAGGAUUAGAUACCCUGGUAGUCCACGCCGUAAACGAUGAGUGCUAGAUGUAGGGAGCUAUAAGUUCUCUGUAUCGCAGCUAACGCAAUAAGCACUCCGCCUGGGGAGUACGACCGCAAGGUUGAAACUCAAAGGAAUUGACGGGGGCCCGCACAAGCGGUGGAGCAUGUGGUUUAAUUCGAAGCAACGCGAAGAACCUUACCAGGUCUUGACAUACUCGUGCUAUUCCUAGAGAUAGGAAGUUCCUUCGGGACACGGGAUACAGGUGGUGCAUGGUUGUCGUCAGCUCGUGUCGUGAGAUGUUGGGUUAAGUCCCGCAACGAGCGCAACCCCUAUUGUUAGUUGCCAUCAUUAAGUUGGGCACUCUAACGAGACUGCCGGUGAUAAACCGGAGGAAGGUGGGGAUGACGUCAAAUCAUCAUGCCCCUUAUGACCUGGGCUACACACGUGCUACAAUGGAUGGUACAACGAGUCGCGAGACAGUGAUGUUUAGCUAAUCUCUUAAAACCAUUCUCAGUUCGGAUUGUAGGCUGCAACUCGCCUACAUGAAGUCGGAAUCGCUAGUAAUCGCGGAUCAGCACGCCGCGGUGAAUACGUUCCCGGGCCUUGUACACACCGCC
rnacentral:rRNA from 1 species